rnacentral:rRNA from 1 species
UACGAAGGGGGCUAGCGUUGUUCGGAAUUACUGGGCGUAAAGCGCGUGUAGGCGGGUCUUUAAGUCAGGGGUGAAAUGCCAAGGCUCAACCUUGGAACUGCCUUUGAUACUGGAGACCUUGAGUCCGGGAGAGGUGAGUGGAAUUGCGAGUGUAGAGGUGAAAUUCGUAGGUAUUCGCAAGAACACCAGUGGCGAAGGCGGCUCACUGGCCCGGAACUGACGCUGAGACGCGAAAGCGUGGGGAGCAAACAGG